ensembl:lncRNA
AGUUAGAGGAGGAAGAGAGGAGGCAGAGGAGGAAGAGAGGAAGUGGAGGAAGAGAGGAGAUGGAGGAGGAAGAGAGGAAGUGGAGGAGGAAGAGAGGAGGCAGAGGAGGAAGAGAGGAAGUGGAGGAAGAGAGGAGACGGAGGAGGAAGAGAGGAAGUGGAGGAGGAAGAGAGGAAGAGGAGGAAGAGAGGAGGCGGAGGAGGAAGAGAGGAAGUGGAGGAGGAAGAGAGGAGGCAGAGGAGGAAGAGAGGAGGCAGAGGAGGAAGAGAGGAAGCAGAGGAGGAAGAGAGGCAGAGGAGGAAGAGAGGAGGCAGAGGAGGAAGAGAGGAGGCAGAGGAGGAAGAGAGGAAGCAGAGGAGGAAGAGAGGAGGCAGAGGAGGAAGAGAGGAGGCAGAGGAGGAAGAGAGGAGGCAGAGGAGGAAGAGAGGAGGCAGAGGAGGAAGAGAGGAG